rnacentral:lncRNA from 1 species
CGAACCAUACUAAAUCGGAUCAAACCGUCCGAUAUCGGAUGGUUCGGGCUGAUACCGUACUAAACUGAUUGAUUCGAUCCGGUUCAGGCCAUUUUCUAAAAAUCUGAUCUGAACCAGAUCGGUUCUCCAUCGAUACGAUACGGUUUGGGAUGUAUCGAUCGAUUCAGACCGGUAUGGAAUACCAUGCUCCAGAGAGUCAGAGGAAGAAUCUAUUCUAGAUGAUGAGCAGGCA